rnacentral:rRNA from 1 species
AUACGUAGGGGACGAGCGUUGUCCGGAAUUACUGGGCGUAAAGGGCGCGCAGGCGGAUAUUUAAGUCAGCUGUAAAAGGCAUGAGCUCAACUCAUGUAUGCGGUUGAAACUGGGUAUCUAGAGUGCUGGAGAGGUAGGCGGAAUUCCCGGUGUAGCGGUGAAAUGCGUAGAUAUCGGGAAGAACACCAGUGGCGAAGGCGGCUUACUGGCCAGUAACUGACGCUGAAGCGCGAAAGCCAGGGGAGCAAACGGGAUUAGAUACCCCGGUAGUCCUGGCAGUAAACGAUGUAUGCUGGGUGUGGGAGUAGCGAUACCUCCGUGCCGAAGUUAACGCGAUAAGCAUUCCGCCUGGGGAGUACGAUCGCAAGAUUGAAACUCAAAGGAAUUGGCGGGG